rnacentral:ribozyme from 1 species
GUUACUCCAUCUGUGACCCCUACCCCCUCUGUAACUGCAACGCCCUCAGUGACACCAACUCCCUCCCUCACCCCAACCCCCUCUGUGACUCCAACCCCAUCAGUCACACCUACUCCAUCUGUGACUCCUUCAACC